AUUGAACGCUGGCGGCAUGCCUUACACAUGCAAGUCGAACGGCAGCACGGGAGCAAUCCUGGUGGCGAGUGGCGAACGGGUGAGUAAUAUAUCGGAACGUGCCUAGUAGUGGGGGACAACCAGUCGAAAGAUUGGCUAAUACCGCAUACGCACUCUGGUGGAAAGUGGGGGAUCGCAAGACCUCACGCUAUUAGAGCGGCCGAUAUCAGAUUAGGUAGUUGGUGGGGUAAAAGCCUACCAAGCCAACGAUCCGUAGCUGGUCCGAGAGGACGACCAGCCACACUGGGACUGAGACACGGCCCAGACUCCUACGGGAGGCAGCAGUGGGGAAUUUUGGACAAUGGGCGCAAGCCUGAUCCAGCCAUGCGGCGUGUGGGAAGAAGGCCUUCGGGUUGUAAACCACUUUUGUCAGGGAAGAAACGGCUCUGGUUAAUACCUGGAGCUAAUGACGGUACCUGAAGAAUAAGCACCGGCUAACUACGUGCCAGCAGCCGCCGUAA
rnacentral:rRNA from 1 species